rnacentral:rRNA from 1 species
GGUUAAGCGACUAAGCGUACACGGUGGAUGCCCUGGCAGUCAGAGGCGAUGAAGGACGUGCUAAUCUGCGAAAAGCGUCGGUAAGGUGAUAUGAACCGUUACAGCCGGCGAUGUCCGAAUGGGGAAACCCAGUGUGAUUCGUCACACUAUCGUUAACUGAAUACAUAGGUUAACGAGGCGAACCGGGGGAACUGAAACAUCUAAGUACCCCGAGGAAAAGAAAUCAACCGAGAUUCCCCCAGUAGCGGCGAGCGAACGGGGAGCAGCCCAGAGUCUGAAUCAGCUUGUGUGUUAGUGGAACGGUCUGGAAAGUCCGACGGUACAGGGUGAUAGUCCCGUACACCAAAAUGCACAGGCUGUGAACUCGAAGAGUAGGGCGGGACACGUGGUAUCCUGUCUGAAUAUGGGGGGACCAUCCUCCAAGGCUAAAUACUCCUGACUGACCGAUAGUGAACCAGUACCGUGAGGGAAAGGCGAAAAGAACCCCGGCGAGGGGAGUGAAAAAGAACCUGAAACCGUGUACGUACAAGCAGUGGGAGCACCUUCGGGUGUGACUGCGUACCUUUUGUAUAAUGGGUCAGCGACUUAUAUUCUGUAGCAAGGUUAACCGUAUAGGGGAGCCGCAGGGAAACCGAGUCUUAACUGGGCGUUAAGUUGCAGGGUAUAGACCCGAAACCCGGUGAUCUAGCCAUGGGCAGGUUGAAGGUUGGGUAACACUAACUGGAGGACCGAACCGACUAAUGUUGAAAAAUUAGCGGAUGACUUGUGGCUGGGGGUGAAAGGCCAAUCAAACCGGGAGAUAGCUGGUUCUCCCCGAAAGCUAUUUAGGUAGCGCCUCGUGAAUUCAUCUUCGGGGGUAGAGCACUGUUUCGGCUAGGGGGUCAUCCCGACUUACCAACCCGAUGCAAACUACGAAUACCGAAGAAUGUUAUCACGGGAGACACACGGCGGGUGCUAACGUCCGUCGUGAAGAGGGAAACAACCCAGACCGCCAGCUAAGGUCCCAAAGUCAUGGUUAAGUGGGAAACGAUGUGGGAAGGCACAGACAGCCAGGAUGUUGGCUUAGAAGCAGCCAUCAUUUAAAGAAAGCGUAAUAGCUCACUGGUCGAGUCGGCCUGCGCGGAAGAUGUAACGGGGCUAAACCAUGCACCGAAGCUGCGGCAGCGACACUAUGUGUUGUUGGGUAGGGGAGCGUUCUGUAAGCCUGCGAAGGUGACCUGUGAGGGUUGCUGGAGGUAUCAGAAGUGCGAAUGCUGACAUAAGUAACGAUAAAGCGGGUGAAAAGCCCGCUCGCCGGAAGACCAAGGGUUCCUGUCCAACGUUAAUCGGGGCAGGGUGAGUCGACCCCUAAGGCGAGGCCGAAAGGCGUAGUCGAUGGGAAACAGGUUAAUAUUCCUGUACUUGGUGUUACUGCGAAGGGGGGACGGAGAAGGCUAUGUUAGCCGGGCGACGGUUGUCCCGGUUUAAGCAUGUAGGCUGGUUAUCCAGGCAAAUCCGGAUAAUCAAGGCUGAGGUGUGAUGACGAGGCACUACGGUGCUGAAGUAACAAAUGCCCUGCUUCCAGGAAAAGCCUCUAAGCAUCAGGUAACAUUAAAUCGUACCCCAAACCGACACAGGUAGUCAGGUAGAGAAUACCAAGGCGCUUGAGAGAACUCGGGUGAAGGAACUAGGCAAAAUGGUGCCGUAACUUCGGGAGAAGGCACGCUGGUGUGUAGGUGAAGUCCCUGCGGAUGGAGCUGAGACCAGUCGAAGAUACCAGCUGGCUGCAACUGUUUAUUAAAAACACAGCACUGUGCAAACACGAAAGUGGACGUAUACGGUGUGACGCCUGCCCGGUGCCGGAAGGUUAAUUGAUGGGGUUAUCCGUAAGGAGAAGCUCUUGAUCGAAGCCCCGGUAAACGGCGGCCGUAACUAUAACGGUCCUAAGGUAGCGAAAUUCCUUGUCGGGUAAGUUCCGACCUGCACGAAUGGCGUAAUGAUGGCCAGGCUGUCUCCACCCGAGACUCAGUGAAAUUGAACUCGCUGUGAAGAUGCAGUGUACCCGCGGCAAGACGGAAAGACCCCGUGAACCUUUACUAUAGCUUGACACUGAACAUUGAGCCUUGAUGUGUAGGAUAGGUGGGAGGCUUUGAAGCGUGGACGCCAGUCUGCGUGGAGCCGACCUUGAAAUACCACCCUUUAAUGUUUGAUGUUCUAACGUUGGCCCCUUACCGGGGUUGCGGACAGUGUCUGGUGGGUAGUUUGACUGGGGCGGUCUCCUCCCAAAGCGUAACGGAGGAGCACGAAGGUUAGCUAAUCCUGGUCGGACAUCAGGAGGUUAGUGCAAUGGCAUAAGCUAGCUUGACUGCGAGCGUGACGGCGCGAGCAGGUGCGAAAGCAGGUCAUAGUGAUCCGGUGGUUCUGAAUGGAAGGGCCAUCGCUCAACGGAUAAAAGGUACUCCGGGGAUAACAGGCUGAUACCGCCCAAGAGUUCAUAUCGACGGCGGUGUUUGGCACCUCGAUGUCGGCUCAUCACAUCCUGGGGCUGAAGUAGGUCCCAAGGGUAUGGCUGUUCGCCAUUUAAAGUGGUACGCGAGCUGGGUUUAGAACGUCGUGAGACAGUUCGGUCCCUAUCUGCCGUGGGCGCUGGAGAAUUGAGGGGGGCUGCUCCUAGUACGAGAGGACCGGAGUGGACGCAUCACUGGUGUUCGGGUUGUCAUGCCAAUGGCACUGCCCGGUAGCUAAAUGCGGAAGAGAUAAGUGCUGAAAGCAUCUAAGCACGAAACUUGCCCCGAGAUGAGUUCUCCCUGAGACUUUAAGUCUCCUGAAGGAACGUUGAAGACGACGACGUUGAUAGGCCGGGUGUGUAAGCGCAGCGAUGCGUUGAGCUAACCGGUACUAAUGAACCGUGAGGCUUAACCUU